rnacentral:rRNA from 1 species
CCUACGGGAGGCAGCAGUGGGGAAUAUUGGUCAAUGGACGCAAGUCUGACCCAGCAAUGCCGCGUGAAGGAAGAAGGCUUUCUGGUUGUUAACUUGCUUUUAUGGGGAAGUGCAGACGACUGUACCUCUUUAAUAAGCCACAUCUAACUACGUGCCAGCCGCCGCGGCAAUACGUAGGUGGCAAGCGUUGUCCGGAUUUACUGGGUUGAACGGGUGUGCAGCCGGGGAGACAAGUCAGAUGUGAAAUCCACGGGCUCAACCCGUGAACUGCAUUUGAAACUGUUUCCCUUGAGUGUCGGAGCGGUAAUCGGAAUGCAUUGUGUAGCGGUGAAAUGCGUAGAGAUCAGGCAGAACACCAGUGGCGAAGGCGGAUUAC